rnacentral:rRNA from 1 species
UACGUAGGCAGCGAGCGUUGUUCGGAGUUACUGGGCGUAAAGCGUGCGUAGGCGGUGGUCCAAGUCUGGUGUGAAAUCUCCCGGCUUAACUGGGAGGGUGCGCCGGAAACUGGGCCGCUGGAGUACGGGAGAGGCAAGCGGAAUUCCAGGUGUAGCGGUGAAAUGCGUAGAUAUCGGGAGGAACACCAGUGGCGAAGGCGGCUUCCUGGCCUGUUCUUGACGCUGAGGCGCGAAAGCUAGGGGAGCAAACGGG